rnacentral:SRP_RNA from 1 species
GCCGGGCGUGGUGGCGAGUGCCUGUAAUCCCAGCUACUCAGGAGGCUGAGGCAGGAGAAUUGCUUGAAUCCGGGAGGCAGAGGUUGCAGUGAGCCGAGAUUACACCACGGCACUCCGGCCUGGGUGACAAAGCAAGACUCUGUCUCAA